rnacentral:rRNA from 1 species
CAUGUAGGCGGCCGGCUCAGUCAGAUGUGAAAGCCCUCGGCUCAACCGAGGAAUGGCAUUUGAUACUGGUCGGCUUGAGUGGAGAAGGGGAGAGCGGAACUUCUGGUGGAGCGGUGAAAUGCGUAGAUAUCAGAAGGAACGCCGGUGGCGAAAGCGGCUCUCUGGUCUCCUACUGACGCUGAGAUGCGAAAGCCAGGGGAGCGAACG